GAUGAACGCUGGCGGCGUGCUUAACACAUGCAAGUCGAACGAAGCAUUUAGGACAGAUUACUUCGGUUUGAAGUUCUUUAUGACUGAGUGGCGGACGGGUGAGUAACGCGUGGGUAACCUGCCUUGUACUGGGGGAUAGCAGCUGGAAACGGCUGGUAAUACCGCAUAAGCGCACAAUGUUGCAUGACAUGGUGUGAAAAACUCCGGUGGUAUAAGAUGGACCCGCGUCUGAUUAGCUAGUUGGUGAGAUAACAGCCCACCAAGGCGACGAUCAGUAGCCGACCUGAGAGGGUGACCGGCCACAUUGGGACUGAGACACGGCCCAGACUCCUACGGGAAGCAGCAGUGGGGAAUAUUGCACAAUGGAGGAAACUCUGAUGCAGCGACGCCGCGUGAGUGAAGAAGCAAUUCGUUAUGUAAAGCUCUAUCAGCAGGGAAGAUAGUGACGGUACCUGACUAAGAAGCUCCGGCUAAAUACGUG
rnacentral:rRNA from 1 species